AACUUAAAAAGAUCUGUAAGAGAAGCAGCGCUUUCUACCCGACAAUCCUUGAAUUCAGAAUCAUCUCGAGACAGUCACACUGAUGAAAUUUCUGAGCACUUCUUUUUACCUCUAUCAGCAACUAGAUUUUCUUCCCUGGACCUAGAAAACAAAGUAGCUUCAAGGAGGAGUGAAAGAUUGCUUACAUCUCAAAAGGACACUGCUUUGCUUGAGAAUCAUGCUCCUGGUGGUCAAGUUGGGAAUUACAAUGAUAUACCAGACAUUUUAAAUGAUUUGGAUUCUAUUACUGAUUACAACCAUGUAAAUGGCUUUCUUUCGGCUGCUGGCUCAAAUGGUGCAAUGUUUGGUGGGCACAGGCCUUUUUAUGAUAUUGAGGAAUCACAUGAUCAGGUCUUCUCACCUCCUUUGCUAAUGGACACAUCCCUAUUAACAGAUUCAUAUGAAGAUUUACUUGCUCCACUGUCAGAAACUGAAACUGCCUUAAUGGAACAUUGAAAGUGGUGUUUAGGCACUGUUGUUCUCAGUCUUGAGGAGAUGAUUGGUCAUUGUGAUAAUUUUUUUUUUCAUUCAUUGGAAUUUCUCCAUGCCGCUAAUUUGGUGCAAGGGUGGUGCUUUUAUGCGUUCCUCCUUCCUCUUCUAUACCUUUCUGACCUCAUUUUUGGCACAGUCGAUUUCCUACUAUUUGAGGUAAAAUCUGGACCAAUUCAGUGCUGUCAUUCAUGCUGGACAACACCUAGAACUCAAGUUGGCCAUUUCAUUUGAGAACUUUUUUAAGGAUCUUGUAGGCUUCAAUCCAAGNNNNNNNNNNNAGAUUAUUGUGCUAAUUCUUUUGGUAAGUUUGUUUAUGGGGAAAUUGUUCCUAUAUCUGGUGCUUGAAGAUUAAAAGAUGAGAAUCUUGUGCAUUCCAUUCUUAAUAUGAUGGAUUUGAGGCCUUUAGUCUGCACUCCAUUGUAUGGCUGCAGGUAACUGUCAAGAUUUAUUGUUGAUCAACUAAUCCUUGUGUAUUUGAUAGAUGUGUAUAACAAGGGAGUUGAUUGUGUAUUUAGGUAAUUGAUCAAAAACAUCAGAUUAACAUUUGCUUUUUUUAUUAUUUUAUAUUUUCUAUAAGAAUAAUUUC
rnacentral:misc_RNA from 1 species